AUUGAACGCUGGCGGCAUGCCUUACACAUGCAAGUCGAACGGUAACGGGCCUUCGGGUGCCGGCGAGUGGCGAACGGGGGAGUAAUACAUCGGAACGUGCCCGAUCGUGGGGGGUAGCGCGGCGGAAGCUUUGCUAAUACCGCAUACGAUCUACGGAUGAAAGCAGGGGGCCGCAAGGCCUUGCGCGGACGGAGCGGCCGAUGGCAGAUUAGGUAGUUGGUGGGGUAAAAGCUUACCAAGCCGACGAUCUGUAGCUGGUCUGAGAGGAUGAUCAGCCACACUGGGACUGAGACACGGCCCAGACUCCUACGGGAGGCAGCAGUGGGGAAUUUUGGACAAUGGGCGCAAGCCUGAUCCAGCCAUGCCGCGUGCAGGAUGAAGGCCUUCGGGUUGUAAACUGCUUUUGUACGGAACGAAAAGCAUUCUUUUAAUACAGGGGGGUCAUGACGGUACCGUAAGAAUAAGCACCGGCUAACUACGUG
rnacentral:rRNA from 1 species